UCCCCACCCGCCCCUGGACCCGUCCGGGUCAGGCCUGCACCGAUCCCCGUCCGAGCGCACUCCUGGGAGCAGCUCCGGGAACCAGACCCCUGCCGCCGCGACCCCUGGCGCCUGGCCUCGCGCCAGGAGGUCUGCUGGGAAUUGGCCCAGUGAGGGCAGAGGGCCUACUUUUCCUGGUGGUUGGUGAGUGGCAGCAGCAACAGGAGCCCAGACCAAGGACAAGUGGGAGUUGGGAGCCCCAGGCCCCACCAUGGCACCGUUCCUGCGCAUCGCCUUCAACUCCUACGAGCUGGGCUCCCUGCAGGUUGAGGAUGAGGCUAACCAGCCCUUCUGUGCCGUGAAGAUGAAGGAGGCUCUCAGCACAGAACGAGGGAAGACGCUGGUGCAGAAGAAGCCGACCAUGUAUCCUGAGUGGAAGACCACGUUUGAUGCUCACAUCUACGAGGGCCGCGUCAUCCAGAUUGUGCUGAUGCGGGCAGCUGAGGACCCAGUAUCGGAGGUGACCGUGGGCGUGUCGGUGCUGGCCGAACGCUGCAAGAAGAACAACGGCAAGGCUGAGUUCUGGCUGGACCUACAGCCCCAGGCCAAAGUGUUGAUGUCUGUGCAGUAUUUCCUGGAGGACGGAGAUUGCAAGCAGUCUAUGCGUAGUGAGGACGAGGCCAAGUUUCCAACGAUGAAUCGCCGUGGAGCCAUCAAGCAGGCCAAGAUCCACUACAUCAAAAAUCAUGAGUUCAUCGCCACCUUCUUUAGGCAGCCCACCUUCUGUUCUGUGUGCAGGGACUUUGUUUGGGGCCUCAACAAGCAAGGCUACAAAUGCAGGCAAUGCAAUGCUGCCAUCCACAAGAAAUGUAUUGACAAGAUCAUUGGCCGGUGCACCGGCACUGCCGCCAACAGCCGGGACACUAUCUUCCAGAAAGAACGCUUCAACAUUGACAUGCCGCACCGGUUCAAGGUCAACAACUAUAUGAGCCCCACCUUCUGUGACCAUUGUGGCAGCCUGCUGUGGGGGCUGGUGAAGCAGGGAUUGAAAUGUGAAGACUGUGGCAUGAACGUGCACCAUAAAUGCCGGGAGAAGGUAGCCAACCUCUGUGGUAUCAACCAGAAGCUCUUAGCUGAAGCCUUGAACCAAGUCAGCCAGAGAUCCUCCAAGAAGCUGGAUUCUGAAUCUCCGGAGCCUGUUGGGAUAUACCAGGGUUUCGAGAAGAAGCCAGGAGUCUCUGGGGACGAUGCCCCAGGUGAAACUGAGCCCAAUCCCCCCCUUAAAGUUCCCACCUUCCAACAGGGAAAAGAAACGGGUGUACCCUCCCUCCCAUUACCGAGGAAGGGGACUAUUCCAGACCAAGAUCUUACAGGCACCAUCUCUCAAGCAGACAACAGUGAGACGUAUGGCAAAAUCUGGGAGGGAAGCUCCAGGUGCCGCAUUGAGAACUUCACUUUCCACAAGAUCCUGGGCAAAGGCAGCUUUGGGAAGGUGCUACUUGCAGAGCUGAAGGGCAAAGGACAGUUCUUUGCCAUCAAGGCCCUCAAGAAGGACGUGGUUCUGAUCGAUGAUGACGUGGAGUGCACCAUGGUGGAGAAGCGAGUGCUGGCGCUCGCCGGGGAGAAUCCCUUCCUCACCCACCUCUUUUGCACCUUUCAGACCAAGGACCACCUGUUCUUUGUGAUGGAGUUCCUCAGCGGGGGAGAUCUGAUGUAUCACAUCCAGGAUAAAGGUCGCUUUGAACUCUACCGGGCCACGUUUUACGCAGCUGAGAUAAUCUGUGGACUGCAGUUUCUACACCACAAAGGGAUCAUUUACAGGGACCUCAAGUUGGACAAUGUGAUGCUGGACCGGCAUGGCCAUAUCAAGAUUGCCGACUUUGGGAUGUGCAAAGAGAACAUAUUUGGGGAGAACCUAGCCAGCACCUUCUGUGGCACCCCAGACUACAUCGCCCCUGAAAUCCUGCAGGGCCUGAAGUACACAUUCUCUGUGGACUGGUGGUCCUUUGGGGUCCUCCUCUACGAAAUGCUGAUUGGUCAGUCCCCCUUCCAUGGUGAUGAUGAGGACGAACUCUUCGAGUCCAUACGUUUGGACACACCGCAUUAUCCCCGUUGGAUCACCAAAGAGUCCAAAGACAUCCUGGAGAAGUUAUUUGAAAGGGACCCACCCAAGAGGCUGGGAAUGACAGGAAACAUCAGACUACACCCCUUCUUCAAGACCAUCAACUGGACUCUGCUGGAGAAGAGGAAGGUGGAACCGCCCUUCAGGCCCAAAGUGAAGCACCCAGGAGACUACAGCAACUUCGACUUGGAGUUCCUGAAGGAGAAGCCGCGCCUCUCCUUUAGUGACAAGAACCUCAUCGACUCCAUGGACCAGACAGCAUUCGCCGGCUUCUCCUUUGUAAACCCCAGAUUUGAGCACCUCUUGGAAAACUGAGGCUCCCAGACAGGUCCUUCACCCCCCUGGGCAGAGCAGGCUAGCCCACCCUCAUCUGCACCUGCCGCUGCCCCUGGAGGAAGAAAAGAAAGGCUUGGAGGUUGGCCCUAGACUAGGCAAGAGAACCAGGAAGAGGAAGGAAACGGCUCAGCUUUCAGGUCUUUGGCAGGGCCCUUUGUCCCUGGAGGUAGGCGAGGCUUGCUCGGUGCCUGAUUGGCUGAUCCCAGCAGCCCAGCAGUUGACUGCCAGCAAGUUCAUUCUUCUGGGAUGAGGUACAAGUUUCCACAGCUGGAGAGGACUGGAUCUGGGCCAGGGCUGUGUCAUCUGGAUCAGUUCUUUCAUCUGGCCUCAUCUGUAAAAUGGAACCAUCAAUUCCUGCUGCCUUGUGGAGCUCCUGGUUCUGGGGGCCUCCAUACAGUGCCAAUGCUGAUGUCCAGUAGUGCUAGGCAAAAAGGAUAGGACAAGGCCUGUGGGGUCCACCUCAAGAGACCUGGGAUGGGGAAGCAGCUGUCGGGGACCCUGCCAAGUUGCCUGGAAGACUGCACAGCUCUAGACCUGUUUCCAGUUUUGGGUGGGUGCCAGACCUGACCCAGAGGCCUCAGGAAAUGCCUCUCGUGGCUGGGCCCUGAGCCACACUUUCACUGGGUUCCGGGGGCCUGGAAACAGGCACUUCCCCCCUCCCCACACUUACCAAGUGAAGAUGUGAGCAGCAUCAACAUCAGCCUCCACUGCAAGAGCAAAGCAAAGCACCCUUCCUGUACUGGGCUGGGAAACAUGGUACAGCAGGACCUAGUGGCAGGAACAUAGCUUUGCUGAUUGCCUGGGGUUCAAAUCCUAUAUGUUCCUAUUGACCUUGGUGAGUGACAACCUCCCAGAGCCCUGAUUUCCUCUACUGUGCAAUGGGGAUGAGUAGGAUGCCUUGUAGACAAUGAUGAUGACCGUGAUAUUCACAAGUUCAUGGCAUGAGCUGAGCACACAGUAGGUGCUUAGGAAAUAGCACCUACUGUGACCUACCCCACAUGCUCAAGGCAGUGGGCCUGUCUGCUGCACACUGGACUCCUCCCGCCUUCUGACUGGGCUGCAGGUGGGCAACUAAUGUGCAACUACCCCAUGGCCUAGCCUAUAGUCCCCUUUCCAGCCCGGAGCUACUGAGGAAGCUUGCCUACAGGCCCUGGGAGGUUGUCCAGGAUGCCCACCUCUCUGAGUGGAUUAAUUGGGAAUAACCGGAAUCAAGCAGAAGACCCAACAACUGGGGAGCUGGUUAAAUACUUUUCUGGCAUGGGAAGUGUUGCAGGGCCAACGGGUCAGUUAAAAAAAUAAGUCAGAAAAUCAA